rnacentral:rRNA from 1 species
GAUGAACGCUGGCGGCGUGCCUAAUACAUGCAAGUCGAGCGAACAGACGAGGAGCUUGCUCCUCUGAAGUUAGCGGCGGACGGGUGAGUAACACGUGGAUAACCUACCUAUAAGACUGGGAUAACUUCGGGAAACCGGAGCUAAUACCGGAUAAUAUAUUGAACCGCAUGGUUCAAUAGUGAAAGACGGUUUUGCUGUCACUUAUAGAUGGAUCCGCGCCGCAUUAGCUAGUUGGUAAGGUAACGGCUUACCAAGGCAACGAUGCGUAGCCGACCUGAGAGGGUGAUCGGCCACACUGGAACUGAGACACGGUCCAGACUCCUACGGGAGGCAGCAGUAGAGAAUCUUCCGCAAUGGGCGAAAGCCUGACGGAGCAACGCCGCGUGAGUGAUGAAGGUCUUCGGAUCGUAAAACUCUGUUAUUAGGGAAGAACAAAUGUGUAAGUAACUAUGCACGUCUUGACGGUACCUAAUCAGAAAGCCACGGCUAACUACGUG